rnacentral:rRNA from 1 species
GUAACAGGAAGUGCUUGCACUUUGCUGACGACCGGCGCACGGGUGCGUAACGCGUAUGCAACCUACCUUCUACAGGGGGAUAGCCCAGAGAAAUUUGGAAUAAUACCCCAUACGAUCAUUAAUUGGCAUCGAUUGAUGAAGAAAACAUUUGUGGUAGAAGAUGAUCAUGCGUCCUAUUAGUUAGUUGGUGAGGUAACGGCUCACCAAGACGUCGAUAGGUAGGGGCCCUGAGAGGGGGAUCCCCCACACUGGUACUGAGACACGGACCAGACUCCUACGGGAGGCAGCAGUGAGGAAUAUUGGACAAUGGGCGAGAGCCUGAUCCAGCCAUGCCGCGUGCAGGAAGACUGCCCUAUGGGUUGUAAACUGCUUUUAUACAGGAAGAAACUGUGCUACGUGUAGCACCCUGACGGUACUGUAAGAAUAAGGAUCGG